rnacentral:rRNA from 1 species
AUUGAACGCUGGCGGCAGGCCUAACACAUGCAAGUCGAACGAGUGGCGGACGGGUGAGUAAUGUCUGGGAAACUGCCUGAUGGAGGGGGAUAACUACUGGAAACGGUAGCUAAUACCGCAUACCAUCGGAUGUGCCCAGAUGGGAUUAGCUAGUAGGUGGGGUAACGGCUCACCUAGGCGACGAUCUCUAGCUGGUCUGAGAGGAUGAUCAGCCACACUGGGACUGAGACACGGCCCAGACUCCUACGGGAGGCAGCAGUGGGGAAUAUUGCACAAUGGGCGCAAGCCUGAUGCAGCCAUGCCGCGUGUAUGAAGAAGGCCUUCGGGUUGUAAAGUACUUUCAGUCGGGAGGCGUUACCGACAGAAGAAGCACCGGCUAACUCCGUGCCAGCCGCCGCGGUAAUAC